rnacentral:piRNA from 1 species
GAGUCUCCAGAGCGAGUGCCAGG